AUAUUGGAGAGUUUGAUCCUGGCUCAGGACGAACGCUGGCGGCGUGCUUAACACAUGCAAGUCGAACGGGGCGAUUUGAAAGCUUGCU
rnacentral:rRNA from 1 species